UACGAAGGGGGCUAGCGUUGCUCGGAAUCACUGGGCGUAAAGGGUGCGUAGGCGGGUCUUUUAAGUCAGGGGUGAAAUCCCGGGGCUCAACCUCGGAACUGCCUUUGAUACUGGAGAUCUUGAGUCCGGAAGAGGUAAGUGGAACUGCGAGUGUAGAGGUGAAAUUCGUAGAUAUUCGCAAGAACACCAGUGGCGAAGGCGGACUUACUGGUCCGGAACUGACGCUGAGGUGCGAAAGCGUGGGGAGCAAACAGGG
rnacentral:rRNA from 1 species